AUGAACGCUGGCGGCGUGCCUAAUACAUGCAAGUCGAGCGAACAGACGAGGAGCUUGCUCCUCUGACGUUAGCGGCGGACGGGUGAGUAACACGUGGAUAACCUACCUAUAAGACUGGGAUAACUUCGGGAAACCGGAGCUAAUACCGGAUAACAUGUUGAACCGCAUGGUUCAACAGUGAAAGACGGUCUUGCUGUCACUUAUAGAUGGAUCCGCGCCGCAUUAGCUAGUUGGUAAGGUAACGGCUUACCAAGGCAACGAUGCGUAGCCGACCUGAGAGGGUGAUCGGCCACACUGGAACUGAGACACGGUCCAGACUCCUACGGGAGGCAGCAGUAGGGAAUCUUCCGCAAUGGGCGAAAGCCUGACGGAGCAACGCCGCGUGAGUGAAGAAGGUCUUCGGAUCGUAAAACUCUGUUAUUAGGGAAGAACAAAUGUGUAAGUAACUAUGCACGUCUUGACGGUACCUAAUCAGAAAGCCACGGCUAACUACGUGCCAGCAGCCGCGGUAAUACGUAGGUGGCAAGCGUUAUCCGGAAUUAUUGGGCGUAAAGCGCGCGUAGGCGGUUUUUUAAGUCUGAUGUGAAAGCCCACGGCUCAACCGUGGAGGGUCAUUGGAAACUGGAAAACUUGAGUGCAGAAGAGGAAAGUGGAAUUCCAUGUGUAGCGGUGAAAUGCGCAGAGAUAUGGAGGAACACCAGUGGCGAAGGCGACUUUCUGGUCUGUAACUGACGCUGAUGUGCGAAAGCGUGGGGAUCAAACAGGAUUAGAUACCCUGGUAGUCCACGCCGUAAACGAUGAGUGCUAAGUGUUAGGGGGUUUCCGCCCCUUAGUGCUGCAGCUAACGCAUUAAGCACUCCGC
rnacentral:rRNA from 2 species